rnacentral:rRNA from 1 species
UACGUAGGGUGCAAGCGUUAAUCGGAAUUACUGGGCGUAAAGCGUGCGCAGGCGGCUUUGCAAGACAGAUGUGAAAUCCCCGGGCUCAACCUGGGAACUGCAUUUGUGACUGCAUGGCUAGAGUACGGUAGAGGGGGAUGGAAUUCCGCGUGUAGCAGUGAAAUGCGUAGAUAUGCGGAGGAACACCGAUGGCGAAGGCAACCACCUGGGCCUGUACUGACGCUGAGGUACGAAAGCGUGGGGAGCAAACAGG